GGCCCAUCCCAAGGCCGCUGCCCUCCAACAGGCCACGCUCAAGCCUCAUGCACUGGAAUUGCCCCAUCUGUCCACUUCAUCUUAAUCCUCCCUAAUCUGCCUGUGCUGAUUAUGUGUGGACGUUGCCCGAGGAGGCAUCAGGCCAGACCACCAUCAUCCUCACCUGGCACCUUCAAUAGCUCCUUCAAUGGCCUCUGUGGCCCACGGUUGUGUCUGCAGUGUGCACCCCACUGAGCUGCUAGAGAAACCAUCUCUAACAGUCCACCAGCUCAGGUCACUGCCCCUCUACCUGCUGCCCCACUUCUGUUCCAGAAGCCUGGAUGUUGCAGCAGAGCCCAACAGCUUGGUGCUGUAGCCAAGUGUUACAGCUCUGAGGCACAGCUGAGCUUCACAGCUCAGUGUGGCAGCUCUGGGUCACAGCGUUC
rnacentral:lncRNA from 1 species